rnacentral:lncRNA from 1 species
UUAUAUUUACUCUUUUAUAAUUAGAAGUUUAUGAUUUAAUUAAACUAGAACUUAAAAAUAAAAGAGAGAGUGGCAGCUACACAAGUAGAAAACCAACUUGAAAUUAAAAGAAGAACUCGAAGGGUCUAGAGAAAGAGGAUAGAGAGAAGAGUGAGGGAUAUCGGUUUGUUUUCGUUGGCAGGGAGGAGGUUUUGCCUCCGUGUCUCUUCUCUAUUAGGUGAUGUAUUUUGGUUUUGUGUUGAAUUUUAUUUGUUUGGUUAUUGUGUGGAUCUAUUUUGGUUGUUGCCCAGCGUUGAGGGGUUGCGGCUUUCGCGUCUUUUCUUCUGCUAGUAGUUUCAUUUCUGCUUCAAGGGAAAAUUCUUGCAUGUCAACAUUGACACCUCGGGACUGCGCCGAUGUAUCCGGUGACCACCGCUCCCAUAAGAGUUCUAUCGCAUCGCAUUGCCUCCCUUCGAGUAGUACUGUGGCGAGCCUUUUUUUUUUCAUCUUGGUUUUGUCUGGUGAUGGGUGGCUUCAGUCUGGGAUAAGGAUUGUUUGGUUGAUAUGCUUUAUUCUGGAUCACGGUUUUUAUUAAAUUUUUCUCAUCUAAAUCUGUUUGUACAUGUUGAUUUUUUGAGUAUGCCAUUUAUUUCGGUGCUCAACGAUUUCAGAUGGUGAAGGAGAUGGACAGAACUGUGUGAGAGUUGUGUGUGGACUAAGUUUGGGUUUGGGCUAAUUGUUGGAUUUGGGUUGGCUUUUCUUAGACUUGUAUAUGCUGUUUGGUCCAAUAGACCUCUAAAUGCAAAUAUACCUUUACAUGAUAAAAAAAAAAAGAUUUAAUUAAACUAACAGAAAUAUUUUUUUUGUAAAGAAA